rnacentral:rRNA from 1 species
AGUGAACGCUGGCGGUAGGCCUAACACAUGCAAGUCGAACGGCAGCACAGUAAGAGCUUGCUCUUACGGGUGGCGAGUGGCGGACGGGUUAGGAAUACAUCGGAAUCUACUUUUUCGUGGGGGAUAACGUAGGGAAACUUACGCUAAUACCGCAUACGACCUACGGGUGAAAGCAGGGGAUCUUCGGACCUUGCGCGAUUGAAUGAGCCGAUGUCGGAUUAGCUAGUUGGCGGGGUAAAGGCCCACCAAGGCGACGAUCCGUAGCUGGUCUGAGAGGACGAUCAGCCACACUGGAACUGAGACACGGUCCAGACUCCUACGGGAGGCAGCAGUGGGGAAUAUUGGACAAUGGGCGCAAGCCUGAUCCAGCCAUACCGCGUGGGUGAAGAAGGCCUUCGGGUUGUAAAGCCCUUUUGUUGGGAAAGAAAAGCAGCAGGUUAAUACCCCGCUGUUCUGACGGUACCCAAAGAAUAAGCACCGGCUAACUUCGUG